CCCGCCCGCUGGCGGCAUGCCUAACACAUGCAAGUCGAACGAGACCUUCGGGUCUAGUGGCGCACGGGUGCGUAACGCGUGGGAAUCUGCCCUUGGGUUCGGAAUAACAGUUAGAAAUGACUGCUAAUACCGGAUGAUGUCUUCGGACCAAAGAUUUAUCGCCCAGGGAUGAGCCCGCGUAGGAUUAGCUUGUUGGUGGGGUAAAGGCCUACCAAGGCGACGAUCCUUAGCUGGUCUGAGAGGAUGAUCAGCCACACUGGGACUGAGACACGGCCCAGACUCCUACGGGAGGCGGCAGUGGGGAAUAUUGGACAAUGGGCGAAAGCCUGAUCCAGCAAUGCCGCGUGAGUGAUGAAGGCCUUAGGGUUGUAAAGCUCUUUUACCCGGGAUGAUAAUGACAGUACCGGGAGAAUAAGCCCCGGCUAACUCCGUG
rnacentral:rRNA from 1 species